UACGGAGGGUGCAAGCGUUGUCCGGAUUUACUGGGCGUAAAGGGCGUGUAGGCGGGACUGUAAGUCGUAGGUGAAAUGUGUAGGCUCAACCUGCACACUGCCUUCGAUACUGCGGUUCUUGAAUGCAGGAGAGGAUAGUGGAAUUCUCGGUGUAGCGGUGGAAUGCGCAGAUAUCGAGAGGAACACCCGUGGCGAAAGCGGCUAUCUGGCCUGACAUUGACGCUGAGGCGCGAAAGCGUGGGGAGCAAACAGG
rnacentral:rRNA from 1 species